GUUUUCUAUCACCUCCGUCAUCUCUUUCCCACUUCAUUCGCUUCUCCGCCAUGGACGCCGGCGAGCCCUCCACCUCGGACUCGCUGGUCCUUGCCACUGCCACCAACGAUCGAGCAUCUUGUGUCGGACUCGUUGAGUUGCUCUCUGAAAACCCUGCUGCGCUUGCCAGGUACCCUGUGGGCACUGAGUACGAUUGGGAAGGUAUACAAAGAUUGAGAGAUGAC